ACCGGCAAACGGGUGCGGAACACGUACACAACCUUCCUAUAAGUGGGAAUAGCCCAGAGAAAUUUGGAUUAAUACCCCGUAACAUAACGAUGUGGCAUCACAUUGUUAUUAUAGCUUCGGCGCUUAUUGAUGGGUGUGCGGCUGAUUAGAUAGUUGGCGGGGUAACGGCCCACCAAGUCUACGAUCAGUAGCUGAUGUGAGAGCAUGAUCAGCCACACGGGCACUGAGACACGGGCCCGACUCCUACGGGAGGCAGCAGUAAGGAAUAUUGGUCAAUGGACGCAAGUCUGAACCAGCCAUGCCGCGUGAAGGAUUAAGGUCCUCUGGAUUGUAAACUUCUUUUAUCUGGGACGAAAAAGGGCUUUUCUAAGUCACUUGACGGUACCAGAUGAAUAAGCACCGGCUAACUCCGUGCCAGCAGCCGCGGUAAUACGGAGGGUGCAAGCGUUAUCCGGAUUCACUGGGUUUAAAGGGUGCGUAGGCGGGCAGGUAAGUCAGUGGUGAAAUCCUGGAGCUUAACUCCAGAACUGCCAUUGAUACUAUCUGUCUUGAAUAUUGUGGAGGUAAGCGGAAUAUGUCAUGUAGCGGUGAAAUGCUUAGAUAUGACAUAGAACACCUAUUGCGAAGGCAGCUUACUACGCAUAUAUUGACGCUGAGGCACGAAAGCGUGGGGAUCAAACAGGAUUAGAUACCCUGGUAGUCCACGCCCUAAACGAUGGAUACUCGACAUACGCG
rnacentral:rRNA from 1 species